rnacentral:rRNA from 1 species
UACGAAGGGAGCUAGCGUUGUUCGGAAUAACUGGGCGUAAAGGGAGCGUAGGUGGAUCUGCGCGUUAGAUGUGAAAGCCCCGGGCUCAACCUGGGAAUGGCAUUUAAUACGGCAGAUCUAGAGUGCGAGAGGGGAAAGCGGAAUGGCGAGUGGAGCAGUGAAAUGCAUUGAGAUUCGCUAGAACACCAGAGGCGAAGGCGGCUUUCUGGCUCGUUACUGACACUAAGGCUCGAAAGCGUGGGGAGCAAACAGGAUUAGAACC